rnacentral:snoRNA from 1 species
UCCUUCAGGUAAUGGGUAAAGAGACACCUUGUUGGUGAUGUCAUUCUUAGAUCAGUCAGGAGCAGAACAGAUGACAGUGUUUUGUUCAUCCUAACUCAGUGUCUGGCUUGGUGGCCAAAGUUGUUUUAUACCUAGGACACAUCA